rnacentral:rRNA from 1 species
AAACUUUCAACAACGGAUCUCUUGGUUCUGGCAUCGAUGAAGAACGCAGCGAAAUGCGAUAAGUAAUGUGAAUUGCAGAAUUCAGUGAAUCAUCGAAUCUUUGAACGCACAUUGCGCCCCUUGGUAUCCCGAGGGGCAUGCCUGUUCGAGCGUCAUUA